CCGUGUGUUAAUACAGACUAAUUUAUUGGUUAACAAGAUGGCGGACUUUUUCAAUGUUUUGAUACUGGCGUUUAUAGUUCCUUUUGUGAGCGCGGGUGGCAAUUGUAACCAAAAGCAUAACUUUCCGGCGGAAUACUGCUUUUAUGGAUGGUGUAUAGAGGACGGGUAUCCAGGCUAUGAAAAAGUUGCUUAAGUCAAGCUGACAGCGAUUUUGAGACCACCAGUCAUGUUCUUGGUGUUGGAGUUAUCGUCGCUAUUGUGGUUGGCUGUGUGAUACGGGUGGUCAUUGUUGUCAGUGUCACCCUCUGCUGUGUCUGCUGUAUGCGGAACUCAAGUAGGACGCAAGGACAGAUCGUCACUUCGGCAGC